UCACAAUGCAGCUAGAAUUAA
ensembl:piRNA 21ur-12363 ncRNA